UCGCGGGUGGAACGGGUGAGUAACACGUGGGUGAUCUGCCCUGCACUAUUGGGAUAAGCCUGGGAAACUGGGUCUAAUACCGGAUAGGACUACGGCCUGCAUGGGUUGUGGUGGAAAGCUUUUGCGGUGUGGGAUGGGCCCGCGGCCUAUCAGCUUGUUGGUGGGGUGAUGGCCUACCAAGGCGACGACGGGUAGCCGGCCUGAGAGGGUGUCCGGCCACACUGGGACUGAGAUACGGCCCAGACUCCUACGGGAGGCAGCAGUGGGGAAUAUUGCACAAUGGGCGCAAGCCUGAUGCAGCGACGCCGCGUGGGGGAUGACGGCCUUCGGGUUGUAAACCCCUUUCAGCACAGACGAAGCGCAAGUGACGGUAUGUGCAGAAGAAGCACCGGCCAACUACGUGCCAGCAGCCGCGGUAAUACGUAGGGUGCGAGCGUUGUCCGGAAUUACUGGGCGUAAAGAGCUCGUAGGUGGUUUGUCGCGUUGUUCGUGAAAACUCACAGCUUAACUGUGGGCGUGCGGGCGAUACGGGCAGACUGGAGUACUGCAGGGGAGACUGGAAUUCCUGGUGUAGCGGUGGAAUGCGCAGAUAUCAGGAGGAACACCGGUGGCGAAGGCGGGUCUCUGGGCAGUAACUGACGCUGAGGAGCGAAAGCGUGGGGAGCGAACAGGAUUAGAUACCCUGGUAGUCCACGCCGUAAACGGUGGGUACUAGGUGUGGGUUUCCUUCCUUGGGAUCCGUGCCGUAGCUAACGCAUUAAGUACCCCGCCUGGGGAGUACGGCCGCAAGGCUAAAACUCAAAGGAAUUGACGGGGGCCCGCACAAGCGGCGGAGCAUGUGGAUUAAUUCGAUGCAACGCGAAGAACCUUACCUGGGUUUGACAUGCACAGGACGCGUCUAGAGAUAGGCGUUCCCUUGUGGCCUGUGUGCAGGUGGUGCAUGGCUGUCGUCAGCUCGUGUCGUGAGAUGUUGGGUUAAGUCCCGCAACGAGCGCAACCCUUGUCUCAUGUUGCCAGCACGUCAUGGUGGGGACUCGUGAGAGACUGCCGGGGUCAACUCGGAGGAAGGUGGGGAUGACGUCAAGUCAUCAUGCCCCUUAUGUCCAGGGCUUCACACAUGCUACAAUGGCCGGUACAAAGGGCUGCGAUGCCGUGAGGUGGAGCGAAUCCUUUCAAAGCCGGUCUCAGUUCGGAUCGGGGUCUGCAACUCGACCCCGUGAAGUCGGAGUCGCUAGUAAUCGCAGAUCAGCAACGCUGCGGUGAAUACGUUCCCGGGCCUUGUACACACCGCCCGUCACGUCAUGAAAUUCGGUAACACCCGAAGCCGGUGGCUAGA
rnacentral:rRNA from 1 species